rnacentral:rRNA from 1 species
GGUUAAGCGAAUAAGCGUACACGGUGGAUGCCUAGGCAAUCAGAGGCGAUGAAGGACGUGCUAAUCUGCGAUAAGCGUCGGUAAGGUGAUAUGAACCGUUAUACCCGACGAUUUCCGAAUGGGGAAACCCAAUAUCCAAUGGAUAUUAUCAUUAACUGAAUACAUAGGUUAAUGAAGCGAACCGGGAGAACUGAAACAUCUCAGUACCCCGAGGAAAAGAAAUCAACCGAGAUUCCCCUAGUAGCGGCGAGCGAACGGGGAACAGCCCAGAGUCUUAAUCAAUAGCAGCAUCAGGAGAACGGUCUGGAAAGUCCGGCAGUAAAGGGUGAUAGCCCCGUAUCUGAAGAUGCUGUUAUUGUGAACUCGACGAGUAGGGCGGGACACGUGUUAUCCUGUCUGAAUAUGGGGGGACCAUCCUCCAAGGCUAAAUACUCCUGAUUGACCGAUAGUGAACCAGUACCGUGAGGGAAAGGCGAAAAGAACCCCGGCGAGGGGAGUGAAAAAGAACCUGAAACCGUGUACGUACAAGCAGUAGGAGCCUCUUCGUGAGGUGACUGCGUACCUUUUGUAUAAUGGGUCAGCGACUUAUAUUCUGUAGCAAGGUUAACCGUAUAGGGGAGCCGUAGGGAAACCGAGUCUUAACUGGGCGAAUGAGUUGCAGGGUAUAGACCCGAAACCCGGUGAUCUAUCCAUGGGCAGGUUGAAGGUUGGGUAACACUAACUGGAGGACCGAACCGACUAAUGUUGAAAAAUUAGCGGAUGACUUGUGGAUGGGGGUGAAAGGCCAAUCAAACCGGGAGAUAGCUGGUUCUCCCCGAAAGCUAUUUAGGUAGCGCCUCGUGAAUUCAUCUUCGGGGGUAGAGCACUGUUUCGACUAGGGGGUCAUCCCGACUUACCAACUCGAUGCAAACUGCGAAUACCGAAGAAUGUUAUCACGGGAGACACACGGCGGGUGCUAACGUCCGUCGUGAAGAGGGAAACAACCCAGACCGCCAGCUAAGGUCCCAAAGUCAUGGUUAAGUGGGAAACGAAGUGGGAAGGCUCAGACAGCCAGGAUGUUGGCUUAGAAGCAGCCAUCAUUUAAAGAAAGCGUAAUAGCUCACUGGUCGAGUCGGCCCGCGCGGAAGAUGUAACGGGGCUAAACCAUGCACCGAAGCUGCGGCAGCGACACUAUGUGUUGUUGGGUAGGGGAGCGUUCUGUAAGCCUGCGAAGGUGUACUGUGAGGUAUGCUGGAGGUAUCAGAAGUGCGAAUGCUGACAUAAGUAACGAUAAUGCGGGUGAAAAACCCGCACGCCGGAAGACCAAGGGUUCCUGUCCAACGUUAAUCGGGGCAGGGUGAGUCGACCCCUAAGGCGAGGCUGAAAAGCGUAGUCGAUGGGAAACGGGUUAAUAUUCCCGUACUGGUGGUAACUGCGAUGGGGGAACGGAGAAGGCUAGGUUGUCCGGGCGACGGUCGUCCCGGUUCAAGCAUGUAGGCAGAGUGAUUAGGCAAAUCCGGUCACUUAAUGCUGAGGUGUGAUGACGAGCCACUAAGGUGGUGAAGCAAUUGAUGCCCUGCUUCCAGGAAAAGCCUCUAAGCUUCAGGUUACCAACAAUCGUACCCCAAACCGACACAGGUGGUCAGGUAGAGAAUACUCAGGCGCUUGAGAGAACUCGGGUGAAGGAACUAGGCAAAAUGGUGCCGUAACUUCGGGAGAAGGCACGCUGGCGGUAAGUGAAGUCCCUUGCGGACGGAGCCGAAGCCAGUCGAAGAUACCAGCUGGCUGCAACUGUUUAUUAAAAACACAGCACUGUGCAAACACGAAAGUGGACGUAUACGGUGUGACGCCUGCCCGGUGCUGGAAGGUUAAUUGAUGGGGUUAUCCUUAGGGAGAAGCUCUUGAUCGAAGCCCCAGUAAACGGCGGCCGUAACUAUAACGGUCCUAAGGUAGCGAAAUUCCUUGUCGGGUAAGUUCCGACCUGCACGAAUGGCGUAAUGAUGGCCAGGCUGUCUCCACCCGAGACUCAGUGAAAUUGAACUCGCUGUGAAGAUGCAGUGUACCCGCGGCAAGACGGAAAGACCCCGUGAACCUUUACUAUAGCUUGACACUGAACAUUGAGCCUUGAUGUGUAGGAUAGGUGGGAGACUAUGAAGUGUGGACGCCAGUCUGCAUGGAGUCAACCUUGAAAUACCACCCUUUAACGUUUGAUGUUCUAACCUAGGUCCAUAAUCUGGAUCGGGGACCGUGUCUGGUGGGUAGUUUGACUGGGGCGGUCUCCUCCUAAAGAGUAACGGAGGAGCACGAAGGUUGGCUAAGCAUGGUCGGACAUCAUGCGGUUAGUGCAAAGGCAUAAGCCAGCUUGACUGUGAGAGUGACGGCUCGAGCAGGUACGAAAGUAGGUCUUAGUGAUCCGGUGGUUCUGAAUGGAAGGGCCAUCGCUCAACGGAUAAAAGGUACUCCGGGGAUAACAGGCUGAUACCGCCCAAGAGUUCAUAUCGACGGCGGUGUUUGGCACCUCGAUGUCGGCUCAUCACAUCCUGGGGCUGAAGUAGGUCCCAAGGGUAUGGCUGUUCGCCAUUUAAAGUGGUACGCGAGCUGGGUUUAGAACGUCGUGAGACAGUUCGGUCCCUAUCUGCCGUGGGCGUUGGAAGAUUGAGAGGGGUUGCUCCUAGUACGAGAGGACCGGAGUGAACGCACCACUGGUGUUCGGGUUGUCAUGCCAAUGGCAUUGCCCGGUAGCUAAGUGCGGAAGAGAUAACCGCUGAAAGCAUCUAAGCGGGAAACUUGCCUCGAGAUGAGUCUUCCCUGUCACCUAGAGUGACCUAAAGGAACGUUUAAGACUAAGACGUUGAUAGGCUGGGUGUGUAAGCGUAGCGAUACGUUGAGCUAACCAGUACUAAUGAACCGUGAGGCUUAACCUG